AACAAUUUUCACCUUAAAUGAAGAGGGAAUCAGUCGACAUCUUACCAGGAAGUAAUUAUAGAUAGUAGAUUAAUCUUCCCAUUAUUAUAUCAAGCGCCAUGUAGUGAAGUGGUCUUCUUGAAUAGAAGCAGGUUAUUAUUUGCAAGAGCAAGUGACAAACAAAGAUCUUAUUCAAAAGAGGGAUUUCGUAUAAUAAUCACUAGAACCAACUACAGAUGGCGCCACGUGUCUUCCAAGGAGACACUAACCUUUGUUCUGCCACUUCAUGCUUCCCUGUUUUAGUCAGAAUCUUGAAACCUCGGGAAGUUGAGGAAACCCGUGGGUUUCGGCAAUCUUGUGUUGGCGAAUGGCGAGCCCGAGACAAGUGUUAGUGUCAGUUGGUCGGUUUUGUAAAACUGACCUUUCUUUCGAUUCGAAUCGUCUGUCUUUGGCAGAUUGAAGAGCCAUGUUUCUUAAGUUGGAAACCAAAUUACAAGAAAAUUAGUGGAUUAAAACCAGGAUUACACAAAAGGAAGUCCAGGUAUUUGACAUAAAUUAUUUUCAGGUACAUCCGGAAGAAUGUCGUACGGAUGGAAUCUGGAUAAAUGACUACUGUAAGAAGAACAUACCCCUCCGCUGUCUCUUCAUCUGUGAGAAGGCACAGCAACUUGACAAGAAAUUUUCAACAGACAGCUAGACGAAAGGUGACACAAAUGACUACAGUAAAUACAAGAAGCAAGAUUACUUUGGCUUUAACGAAGCCUCUGAAGAGGAAGAGGCACAAGAAGGACCUUCGUCAGCUCCUCGGCCUUCAGGCCAGCAAAGGGGUGGCUUCACCGUUUCAUGAAAGUUCCAAUUCAAAAAAUUUUUGUUGCAUGGUGAAGCUGCGGCGGCAGGAGCAAAACAUCCAGAGCGCUUCAAAAAGAUAAUCUGCAACAAUGGCUACUGUCCACAACAGGUACGUUGUACGGACAUACAUGUAUGUAUUCUACUGUAAACUGCACAGCUACGUUACAUAAUUCUUCAGCACCAUCUUCAACACUGAUCACUGUUCAGUACCCAUAUGAUUAACUUCACAUAUAUGUAGUAUAGGCAGUCCCUGGGUUACGAUGGGUUCCAUUCUUGAGACGCGUCGUAAGCCGGAACAUUGUCAAAAAUCCUAAGAAAACCUUACUUUUAAUGCUUUGGGUGCAUUCAAAACUAUAUAAACUGCAUUCUUACUGCAUUUUUCAUCAAAACCCUUCAAAUAUUGAUUAUUUUGCUUUUUUGGUGUCACAUUUCUUCUGUGAGAUCGGCGUUGUAGGCGUCGUAACCCUGGAAAUAAUUUCUGAUAUAUAUAAUUGAAAAGCGCCUUAACCUCGGAAUGUCGUAAGCCAAACCCGUCGUAACCUGGGGACUGCCUGUAUUUGUAUAGGAUGUAUACGUAGUACAUGAAUGUUGUACUAAUACUUAUAAAUAUUAGUACGUAUACUGUAAUAAAUAUUAGUAUACUGUAGUAAAGUGUAUUUUAAGUGUUUGAAAUUAUAUUACUAAAAUGUUUAAAUGAUAGUGGUCCAAUAUCCGAGGAAGUAGUAGUAAAUUUCCCCCAUGAUAAAAUUGGGAUGUGUACGGUAAAACCUUGUUUUAAAUGACCUGGAACCCACAGACAUCGGAUUUAAUGGACAAAAUCCGGCCAAAGGUAAUAAAGCCUAAGGCUACUGUAAAAUUAUACAGAACCAUCUGUGUAUAGGCUAGCUUUUGCAACAACAGGUAUCUUAUGGAAAAUUGGUAAUGAAAAUAUAUUAAAUGCCGUUUUACUUACUGCCUAAUGUUGGUGGUUUGCAAGAUUUUUGAGUCCAUAAUUAUUGCACAUAAAAUUGUGGAUCACAUAUAGAAACCAUUUACUGCUAAAACAGCCAACACGGUUUCCGACAAAACAGAUCCUGCGUAUGAACCUCUUGGGGUUUUUCCAUAACAUGCUAGGUAUUUACGACAGUAGUAGAGCAAUAGAUAUUCCAAAAGGCCUUUGACAAAGUCCCACACAAGAAACUGAUGACAAAAGUUAGAACUUUAGGAAUUGUAGGAGAAACAGCAGACUGGGUCGAAGACAAUCGUAAUAAAUGGUGGAGAAUCAGAAUGGGCAGAUAUAACAAGCGGAGUUCCCCAGGGUUGUGUCCUUGGCCCUCUGUUUUUCAUUUACAUUAAUGACAUUGAUGUAGGCUUAACUAGCAGGAUAGCCAAAUUUGCGAAUGACACCAAACUAGGUAUAAAUGCAGCAGACCCACAUGCAGUGGAAAGUUUAAGAAAUUAUCUAAUGAAAAUAGGAGUGGUAAAAAAAUGGCAAAUGCCUUUUAACGUAGAUAAGUGUAAAGUGUUACAAAUAGGAACAAAUAACCCUCAUACCAGCUACAUGCUGAAUGGGAAUGACGGCGUAGAACAAGAGGACGGCCUUGGAGUCAUUAUUAUCAAGGUCUUAUAAUCCACAAAACUCUGCAGAAAAGAAGGCUCAGAAACUAGUGGGAUGCAUAAAGAGGCAGCUCAAUUACAGAAACAAGGAAACUCUGCUGCAGCUCUACACACAAAUAGUUAGACCCCAUCUUGAAAAUGCAGUGCAGUUUUGGUCACAGUCACUAAGGAAAGAGACAAAUAGAUUAGGAGUACAAGCAAGAGCUGCAAAAGUUUAUUCCAUCCAUCAGGCAAAUAGGGACUAGAGCGCCUGAUCAUGUAUAGCUUAAAAACAUGAUUGUGAGGACAACUAAUAGAAAAAUUUAAAAUACUGAAAGGCAUAACAAAAGUAAACAGUAAAUUAUUUACAUUAGAUGAAAACCAGACAAGAAAUAAUGGAAACUAGAACUGAAGGGAUAAAACUAAUCCCAUUGUGGGAACUUAUUUACAUAAAAGAUAUGUGGCACGUGAAAUAAACUUGCCACCAGAAGUUGUAAACCGCAACAGUGUGGAAGAGUUUAAAAGAAAGCUUAGACAAAAUCAUUAGGACACAGUGAAUGCACAAUAAAACCUGCUCCUACAGUUAAGUGUGCACACGAUGUCUCCUCGGAUGGACCAAGUCUUGAGACAUCCUAAUCCUUGUAAUUCCUUGUAACUUACUGUAUCCUUGAAAAUUCAAAAUAAAAGAAAUAAAGCGAGUUCUAUAUGUUUUUCCUAAACACGCGGCCUAAAAGGAAACCAAAUAGUAAAGUUUCAUCAUCGCCACAAACCUCUAACAAUACGAUAAUUCUAAACUUUUUUACUACAAAAAUAAGUUUUUGGUGAAAAAUUAGUAACCUAAAAUUAAUAUUAACCUAUAUUUUAAUACUAUACUGGCUCUUCCUAACGCCUCGGUUGGCAGAAGUUUGGAAGUGCCAGUGCAGUGUUAAAAAAUAAGAUUCCCGUCUUUAAAUGUUUUUAUAUUUACAUUUCACCGCUAGUCGCAAACAACUAUAAAAUAAUGUGCGAUAAUUAUAGUUUGUAUGGCUGCACUGUUUGGGAAAGUUAUUUACUACCAAAAGAGUAAUUAAUUUGGAAUUAAAACUGUCAUCCUAAAUGUUAUUUAUCCUAAAUGUAUUUACCAUAAUUACACCAUACCAUUAAAAUUUCUGAUAGGUUACCGAACGAUGAGUGUCGCUGUGAACGCAACCGUAUAACUUUAAAUUUUGUUGCUGGCGCCACUGUUAAAAGUUUAUUUCAUUGAUAAGGAAUUAUUCCUUGAACAUGCUAUCUAUUAUGAAGAUAUGCCAAUAAUAUAUAAGGCGAAAAUGGUUUUAUUAACUUUUCAUCAGUUGAUAUUAUAAUGUGACUUUUGACCCUGAGGCAGAGGAUUAUGCCUACCUACAAAUAUCAUAUACACAACACUGACGAAUGCACGAUGCUGGGAAUUAUACCCGUGAUAUAGUCUGAGAAGCAUUCCAAGGAAAAACCUGUGGCUAGCAGACUCAGAGACUGCUGAUCCGCAACUAAGCAAUGACCCACUGCAUUGAGUUUGCCUCUGGUAGUUACUACCUUCAAAAUAUGAAAGGCAUGUUAGUGUGUACCUGAGCUUGAUUAGUGUCCUUUAGCCCCGUAUUUAGGAUAUGGUUUACAAAGACUAGUUUUGAUGGUCAUGGUUAUAUAGUUAUAUUAAUUACACACAGCGUUUGUUUAUCCAUUUUCAGACAUUACAUUUUAUUUUAAUUUUAUUUAUUUUGGUAGUUUUGUUUUGAUUAUUAGGUACAAAGAUUGGAUCGUUUCCUGUUAUGACUUAAAACAAGAAUGUCUCUUAACAGCUGAGAAUGCCAGAGACUUAUAAUCCUUUUCAUUCUGGCCUAUUAUUAGCCAUAGGUUAUCUUUUGAGGAUUAAGUACAGGAUUGGUAAUUACCAGUGAGUUUAGUGUUUUAGUAGGCUUAAUUCAUGUCAUUUUGUAGGAACUUAACUAGUUUUGGUGGUUAGCCUUUCAUUGAUAACAUUUUUAAGAGGUGAAUAGUUCAAAGAUUCUUGCUAAUUUUUAAAAUAUAUAUGCAGAUACAAUACAUUAGGUGGAUGUCGGUAAAGUACACGAAGUGGUAACCGUCUGAGAAAUAAAGGACUAUAAAACUGGAACAAUUUAUAAAGUUGGCCGAGAGUGUGUACAUAUAUUGAAAAUCACUGAAAAUUAAAUAUGCUGUGACAAAUUCGAAAGUAUUUAUGAGAUAAUUAACAUGUUUAGAAUUAUGGUGUAAAAAAUUAUGGCGUAAAAUUGUUCUACUUGGAAACAAAAUGGUUUACUAUAAUGUGAAGUUUUAAGACAAUUUAUUUUUCAGUAAGUUUUUUUCAUGGCUAUAUCCAAGCACAAGAAUACUAACCAUAAAUGGGAAUGUUUAGUAUCAACCUGUAAUCAAUGAAGAAAGGAAGUCGGCCCACAUACUGUGAGAGUGAAUCGUAAAAUACAAACUAGGCAGAAGGUAACAAACGGUUUCAUCAGAACUGAUGGUGUUAGACCUUGACCAUGGUUUUUAUUUUUUUUUUCUUUUCUUUAGAGGAAAUACUUUACGUUAGUUUUUAUAUUUGAGCAAUGUACUACACAUAAAUACUUGUUAGUAAAUUUAAAUCUGUAUCAGCUGGAUUACUAUUGUAGCAUUAUCUGUAAGUGCAUAUGCUGUAAUCUUUUAAGACAUUGUAUAUAAAACCAAAUUAAUAUAUUACAAAUUCCAUUACUGAUGCCACAGAUAAGCAUAUCCCAAUAUUCACGUGGUGAGAGUUAUAGUGAGAGUAAAAAUUAUCCCAUGAUCAGUUGAUUAAACUGGUUCGUUAAUCGGCCAAGUCCAGCAUGUAUUAAGUGAAAAUAAUUUAUAGCCAAUUGAAAUCUUUGCCUUUCAAGAUGACACAAGAAAAUUAACUAAAAACAUUCAAACCAAUAUACAAUAGUUUGAGGUAAAAUUUUACUCUUAUCAUAAAAUUGAGAACUUGUUAAAUAUAUGACAGCAUUUCUAGCGUAGCAUUUCGAGUGUAACUUGAAAAUAAAACAAUUUGACAAAAAGAAAAUAAUUUAAAAAGAAAAUCCACAAACAUCAUAACAGACAGUUUAAUGUAUCAGUUUUCAACACUUGUGUUAAUGAAAGGUGAGAACUGUCAGCUUUCAAGUUUUGAAACUGCCAAAGCUUUAUUAAAAUUUUGAGAAUAAUGGUGUAAAAUUGUUCAACUUUGAAACAAAAUGUUGUGAGAAGUUUUAAGUGAAUUUAUUUUCCAGGAGAAGUUGUUUUGGUGGCUAUAUCCCAAGCACAAGAAUACUAAACAUAAUUGGGGAAUGUUUAGUAUGAACCUGUAAUCAAUGAAGAAAGUAUUGUGAGUAAAUCAUGAAAAUACUAACUAGGCAGAGGGUGACAAACUGUUUCAUCAGAAGUGAGGUUUUAGACCUUGACCAUGGUGGUUGAUUUUUUUUUUUCUUUAGAAAAAAUACUUUACGUUAAAGAUAGUGUUCAGCAAUAUUGUUAAGUGUUGCUAGGUGUUUUAAGAUGGUAUAUAUAAACUGAGGGCAAUUUGAUUUUAUAAAUUGAUUCAUCUGUAUUAUUUAAAACACAU